rnacentral:rRNA from 1 species
UACGAGUGGUGCAAGCGUUAUUCGGAAUCAUUGGGCGUAAAGGGCGCGUAGGCGGUAUGUUAAGUUCACUGUUAAAUCCUUCGGCUUAACCGAAGAUAGGCAGAGAAUACUGGCGUGCUAGAGGGUGGAAGAGAGAAGUGGAAUUCUCGGAGUAGCGGUAAAAUGCGUAGAUCUCGAGAGGAACACCAAUGGCGAAGGCAGCUUCUUGGUCCACUCCUGACGUUGAGGCGCGAAAGCGUGGGGAGCAAACAGG